GAUGAUCUGGAACCUUCUCAAAAUUAUGUUUUCGGUCUGCCGAUUCGCCCGUCCUUCAGUCGAGCAGUAAUCGACAAGGUCUGUGGCAAGCUUCUCUCUGUAGUUUUGUAUAUGCAUAUAUGUUUUUCCUUGAUAAUUUGAAGAAUAUAUGUUGUAAUCAACAUGAUGAGUUGAAAGAAGAGUUGGAGAUGGAACCUCAUCU
rnacentral:misc_RNA from 1 species